rnacentral:rRNA from 1 species
UUGAAAAAAUUAGAGUGUUCAAAGCGGGCUUACGCUUGAAUAUAUUAGCAUGGAAUAACACCAUAGGACUCCUGUCCUAUUUCGUUGGUCUCGGGACGGGAGUAAUGAUUAAGAGGAACAGUUGGGGGCAUUCGUAUUUCAUUGUCAGAGGUGAAAUUCUUGGAUUUAUGAAAGACGAACUUCUGCGAAAGCAUUUGCCAAGGAUGUUUUCAUUGAUCAAGAACGAAAGUUGGGGGCUCGAAGAUGAUUAGAUACCAUCCUAGUCUCAACCAUAAACGAUGCCGACUAGGGAUUGGCGGAUGUUAAUUGAUGACUUCGCCAGCACCUUAUGAGAAAUCAAAGUUUUUGGGUUCCGGGGGGAGUAUGGUC